GUUCUAACGUUGGCCCCUAAUCGGGGUUGCGGACAGUGUCUGGUGGGUAGUUUGACUGGGGCGGUCUCCUCCUAAAGAGUAACGGAGGAGCACGAAGGUUGGCUAAUCCUGGUCGGACAUCAGGAGGUUAGUGCAAUGGCAUAAGCCAGCUUGACUGCGAGCGUGACGGCGCGAGCAGGUGCGAAAGCAGGUCAUAGUGAUCCGGUGGUUCUGAAUGGAAGGGCCAUCGCUCAACGGAUAAAAGGUACUCCGGGGAUAACAGGCUGAUACCGCCCAAGAGUUCAUAUCGACGGCGGUGUUUGGCACCUCGAUGUCGGCUCAUCACAUCCUGGGGCUGAAGUAGGUCCCAAGGGUAUGGCUGUUCGCCAUUUAAAGUGGUACGCGAGCUGGGUUUAGAACGUCGUGAGACAGUUCGGUCCCUAUCUGCCGUGGGCGCUGGAGAACUGAGGGGGGCUGCUCCUAGUACGAGAGGACCGGAGUGGACGCAUCACUGGUGUUCGGGUUGUCAUGCCAAUGGCACUGCCCGGUAGCUAAAUGCGGAAGAGAUAAGUGCUGAAAGCAUCUAAGCACGAAACUUGCCCCGAGAUGAGUUCUCCCUGACUCCCUGAGAG
rnacentral:rRNA from 1 species